UGAGUACGAGAUGCUACGGCAUCGAAGCAGUCUAUGUCAUACUUCCAAGAAAAGCUUGCAAUGUCAUAAACAAAUAAUGCCUGUACCAUAACCGACACAGGUGGGUAGGUAGAGUAUACUAAGGGGCGCGAGAUAACUCUCUCUAAGGAACUCGGCAAAAUGACUCCGUAACUUCGGGAGAAGGAGUGCCUUAUUUUUAUAAGGUUGCAAUAACAAGAUCCAAGCAACUGUUUACCAAAAACACAGGUCUCCGCUAAGUCGUAAGACGAUGUAUGGGGGCUGACGCCUGCCCAGUGCCAGAAGGUUAAAGAAGUUGGUUAGCAUUAGCGAAGCUGAUAACUGAAGCCCUGGUGAACGGCGGCCGUAACGAUAACGGUCCUAAGGUAGCGAAAUUCCUUGUCGGGUAAGUUCCGACCCGCACGAAAGGCGUAAUGAUUUGGAUACUGUCUCGGAGAGGGGCUCGGUGAAAUAGACUUGUCUGUGAAGAUGCGGACUACCUGCACCUGGACAGAAAGACCCUAUGAAGCUUUACUGUAACUUGAGAUUGAAAUUGGACUUUAUCUGCGCAGUAUAGGUGGGAGACGUUGAAAAUAUUCUUGCGGGAAUAUUGGAGUCAUCAGUGAGAUACCACUCUUAUAAUGUUAGAUUUCUAACUUUGUAUCAUUAUCUGGUCAAAGAACAGUUUCAGGCGGGCAGUUUGACUGGGGCGGUCGCCUCCCAAACGGUAACGGAGGCGCACAAAGGUUUCCUCUGAACGUGUAGAAAUCGUAUCUAGAGUGUAAAGGCAUAAGGAAGCUUGACUGUGAGACCUACAAGUCGAGCAGGGACGAAAGUCGGUCUUAGUGAUCUGACGGUGCUGAGUGGAAAGGCCGCCACUCAACGGAUAAAAGUUACUCUAGGAUAACAGGCUGAUCUCCCCCAAGAGUUCACAUCGACGGGGAGGUUUGGCACCUCGAUGUCGGCUCAUCGCAUCCUGGGGCGGUAGUACGUCCCAAGGGUUGGGCUGUUCGCCCAUGAAAGCGGUACGCGAGCUGGGUUCAGAACGUCGUGAGACAGUUCGGUCCAUAUCCGGUGUAGGCGUUAGAAUAUUGAGAGGAGCCUUCUUUAGUACGAGAGGACCGAGAAGGACAUACCUCUGGUGUACCAGUUAUCGUGCCAACGGUAAACGCUGGGUAGCCAUGUAUGGAGAGGAUAACCGCUGAAAGCAUCUAAGUGGGAAGCCCACCUCAAGAUAAGUAUUCCC
rnacentral:rRNA from 1 species